rnacentral:rRNA from 1 species
UACGUAGGGGGCUAGCGUUGUCCGGAAUCAUUGGGCGUAAAGCGCGCGUAGGCGGCCCGGUAAGUCCGCUGUGAAAGUCCAGGGCUCAACCCUGGAAAGCCGGUGGAUACUGCCGGGCUAGAGUCCGGAAGAGGCGAGUGGAAUUCCUGGUGUAGCGGUGGAAUGCGCAGAUAUCAGGAGGAACACCGAUGGCGAAGGCAGCUCGCUGGGACGGUACUGACGCUGAGGCGCGAAAGCGUGGGGAGCGAACAGG